GACGAACGCUGGCGGCGUGCUUAACACAUGCAAGUCGAACGAAGUGGCGAACGGGUGAGUAACGCGUAAUCAACCUGCUCCUCAGUGGGGUACAACAGUGGGAAACGAUUGCUAAUACCGUAUACUGACGGUGGGGUUGGCGUCUGAUUAGCUAGUUGGAGGGGUAAUGGCCCACCAAGGCGAUGAUCAGUAGCCGGGCUAGGCGGAUGGACGGCGUGAUUGGGACCUGGGGGCGGGCCAGACUGCCUAGGGAGGCAGCAGUGGGGGAUCUGCGGCAAUGGGCGAAAGGCGGGAGGGGCAACGCCGCGUGAGUGAUGACGGCCAUCAGGUUGUAAAGCUUUGUUAAUCGGGACGCGGUACCGGAAUAGGAAGCCACGGCUAACUACGUGCCAGCAGCCGCGGUAAUUC
rnacentral:rRNA from 1 species